GAGUUUGAUCGUGGCUCAGGAUGAACGCUGGCGGCGUGCUUAACACAUGCAAGUCGAACGAAGCACUUGAAUGGAAUUCUUCGGAAGGAAGCUCAAGUGACUGAGUGGCGGACGGGUGAGUAACGCGUGGGUAACCUGCCUCAUACAGGGGGAUAACAGUUAGAAAUGACUGCUAAUACCGCAUAAGCACACGUGAUCGCAUGAUCGAGUGUGAAAAACUCCGGUGGUAUGAGAUGGACCCGCGUCUGAUUAGCUAGUUGGU
rnacentral:rRNA from 1 species